UGGCAGACCACCCCCCCAGGCCGAAUGACACUGCGGCGCCGUGGAUUAACUUAAAAUUACACAGCCACGGUGAACUACUGAGAACUGCAGUGAGGAAACACCCAAGGCACACGCGGAUCGGCAGGCAGGUGGGGGGUGGGGCGGUAGCCCAGAAGUUGUCGGUGGUGCACUUGGUUAAACAAUGAGGGGCGGGUGUCGGAGAGGGGGCUGACCUGAUUGGCAGAGAGCGGGAAAUCCGAGGCUCCUGAUUGGAUGAGAGGCCAGCGGAUCGGCGGCGUGUGGGCUUUGAAGUAGGGGCAUAAAAAGGGACGAAAAUGAGAAGCAAGCUCUCUUUUGCGCGGGGUCUUUUGGAGUGAGGGACAGAGGAGUGAUCGUCCCCUGCUACUCGAACGUCCAUGAGAUGGGUCGCAGAGCAGCCAGGUCCAGCCCCCGCAAAAGCCACGUGCAGCCUCGCCUUUCAGCGACUUCCUACACCUCGAGAUCGGAGCUCGCUACCGUGUCGCGCAUCUCGGAGCUGGGACGGCGUGGGCAGCGUUGGUCACCUGCGUCGGAGUUGUCGGCCGUGCCGUACGGAUGUCCUGUUGGGGCGGUUCAGCAAGUUACAACAACAUUACAAAAACCGAUAAGAUUGCAACGUAUAAGAAAGGUAAGCAAGUCACAAAAAAUAUGUGCGCACAAAUUGCAUAAGAAUAUUAAUUGCUGCCGAGUUUUCGCCACUACAUGUAAUCUUGGACAAGGCAGGGAAACAACAACAGUCCCAGACCACACCAAGAUAACAAAAACACAGCAGUCCCUCAAUACAUUUGCACACUUAAAUUGACCUAUCGAUACACGGGGGAGGGAAAGGAUCGAAGUAACAAAUCACGUUGCAAAUGUGGCUGCUGUAUCCAGCACCGAUAUUCCGGAUCUGGGCGGUUGAGAUUCUAGGAUGGUGACAGCAGAAGCAGCAAGCAGCUCGAUCCCCAGAA